UGUAGAUUUGAGGGAAAGAUUAAAAACAAGGAGGUCUGGGAAUGACUGAAGGGAUCUGACAGCAGUGAGGGAAGGAAGUAAUCACCAGAAUCUCAGAGGAUGUUGACAGUGCAGGCCCAGGAUGAAGAAGAGGAGGAAGAACACGUUUAACAAUUUUCUCAUAAGCUUGCCAUGUGUUAUAAUAAAAACAAAGAACAUGGCUACAAUAAUAUGCUAAAUGUUAUUAAAAGAUUCCAGUUUGCAAGAAGUCUGAGUGUCUGACUCUACACUAGAGGAACUCUUUUCUGAAGAUCAGGUGCUGAGAAGGAGCCUUGUUCUACAGCAAAACACUGCAUCAAGCCUCCUGUUCUUCCCUCAGAAGAGCCUGUCUUCUGCUGCUGGGGUAAGAAACACCCUCUUCCUCUUCUCUAUCAGCUGUCCAGCACCUAACUCUGCCUCCUCAGCACUGUCUGAAAGAGUCUUCUCCACAGUCCGUAAUCAGAGAUCACAGAUUCUUCUGAGAAAGUCGAUAUGCUCAUUUUCUUAAAAAACUUAGUUUUUUCGGGUGGGACAAAUAAUACAGGAGAGAUGCUAGAAAUCUCUAUAUUGUUCAUUUUUCAUAUCUUUACGCUUUAUGAAUGUUUUUCUUCUGAGAAGCUCAAAAAUUAUGGUUCUUUGGUAAUUGCUUUAUUGUUUAGGUUUAUCCUCUGAUAGUGAGCAAAGAGCCCUGAUCAUGACAUGCAAGAAAAAGAAAGAAAUCAUGUCCAUGAUUUACUAAUUUGUUCCCUCGAUGUACUAAAACGUGCACGAUUACUUUUACAUUUCAUUUCUUUGCUAAAUCGUAUGCACAAUUUACUAAUUCGUUCUCUUGAUGUAUAAAUAGUGUACACGUUUUAACAAAUCGAGGGAAUGAAAUAGAAAAUCGUGCGCAUGAAUUAGUCAAAAUUUUUUCCUGCAUGUCGUGUAAUUAAAGCACAUCACCACCAGACAUUUAUACCAGGAGCCUCAUAUAUGACGCUCACAAUUUUACUUUGUGCAGUAUCUCUGUGCAGUAUCUGCUGAAUUGUUUCAUAUCUAUUUAUCAUGUAUUUUUUGUUGCACUAAAUUAUGUUGUAUCAAUAAGUUUACUGAUAAUUAUUUAUAAUUUUCACUGAUAACAUGAUUAACCAUCUCCCCAUCCUUAAGACAAACAUUUUCUGUUGUUCAUAUUGUGUAAUCUAUGAAUUGAUGUGUUUAGUUUUCUGUGCUCAUAACUUAGUAACAUUUUGCAUGGUUAAAGAACAGGUGCAAUGUUCAAAAUGUUUUGGCUUCGUAUUUUUAGAAAGUAGUGCUGAAUAAAUAUUGAUUUGUGAAUGAA